CUCGGGUCCCCUCCAGCCCUACCGUUGGAGGAAAGAGGCGGAGAGGAGGCCAGGAGGCCGGCAGGGUUGAUCAGGCCAAAUGGUGGGGGGCGCCAAAUGCCAGGCCAAUGUGGAGCCAGUUUGGGCUCCACAGCAGGGUGACUGAUCCAGCCAUGGCAACACUCACAUUUACCUUGUCCCCUGCGGGGCUGGUUCCUCUCCCGGAUCAGAAGGAAAGAGGAGGUCUGGCCUGUGCUGAGCUUGCAGCUAGAGAAGGACGAACGAACUCUUUGAUUGUCAGGACGGUGAGAUUGCGCGGGGAAGCUGUACAGUUGCCUUCUCUGGAUAUAGUGAAUGUGGAGAACGAAGGAGAUGCAUCUGAAGCAGGAUGCACCAUCCCCAGAUAGGCACAUAUCGGAUCUCCCAGCCUGGUGACUCUUCCGUGGUCUAAUCUGAACACCUCUGGCCUGCCACACCUCUGGCCAGCCUCCAGUUAGCUGCUUUUCAGGAGAUGUGCCAUCCCUCUCAUUUUCUCAUUCCUCGGAUGAAGCUCGUUCCCCAUGCUGGAUGCCAACCCCCAAAAUCUGAGGUCUAUUCAGAGGACCAAACUACAGGGCCCCUUGAGAAGAG
rnacentral:lncRNA from 1 species